UACCCUUUGGAAAGGAACAGCCUCGGGAAACUGGGAGUAAUGCCCUAUAAGAUACGUUUGUCGCAUGGCAUUUGUAUUAAACGCUCCGGCGCCAUAGGAUGGACCCGCGUCCCAUUAGCUAGUUGGUGAGAUAACAGCUCACCAAGGCCACGAUGGGUAACCGGUCUGAGAGGGCGAACGGUCACACUGGAACUGAGACACGGUCCAGACUCCUACGGGAGGCAGCAGUGGGGAAUAUUGCGCAAUGGGGGCAACCCUGACGCAGCAAUACCGCGUGAGUGAAGAAGGUUUUCGGAUCGUAAAGCUCUGUUAUUGGGGAAGAAAAAAAGACGGUACCCAAGAAGAAAGUUCCGGCUAACUACGUGCCAGCAGCCGCGGUAAUACGUAGGGAACAAGCGUUGUCCGGAUUUACUGGGCGUAAAGGGCACGCAGGCGGUUUUUUAAGUCAGAUGUGAAAGGCCACAGCUCAACUGUGGACGUGCAUUUGAAACUGAAAGACUUGAGUAUUGGAGAGGCAAGUGGAAUUCCUAGUGUAGCGGUGAAAUGCGUAGAUAUUAGGAGGAACACCGGUGGCGAAGGCGGCUUGCUGGACAAAUAC
rnacentral:rRNA from 1 species